UGAAAUGGGCGGGCGGAGAAUAGGAAAUCCGGUCAAAAUCCGGAACGGUACCGCCACUGUAUGCGCGGAGACCGUACGCGCGGCGAAAGCCGGCCAUUGGGGGACCCCGAGAAGGCCGCGUACGGAUCAGUGAUGCGUAAGUCAGGAGACCUGCUCAAA
rnacentral:ncRNA from 1 species